GACGAACGCUGGCGGCGUGCCUAACACAUGCCAGUCGAACGGAACCGAAUUAAAAAAUUUCUUAAGACAGAAUUUGACAAAGUAUAGUGGCGGACGGGUGAGUAACACGUGAGUAACCUGCCUUCAAGAGGGGAAUAACAUUCUGAAAAGAAUGCUAAUACCGCAUGACAUAUCGGAACCACAUGGUUUUGAUAUCAAAGAUUUUAUCGCUUGAAGAUGGACUCGCGUCCGAUUAGUUAGUUGGUGAGGUAACGGCUCACCAAGACCGCGAUCGGUAGCCGGACUGAGAGGUUGAACGGCCACAUUGGGACUGAGACACGGCCCAGACUCCUACGGGAGGCAGCAGUGGGGGAUAUUGCGCAAUGGGGGCAACCCUGACGCAGCAACGCCGCGUGAAGGAUGAAGGUUUUCGGAUUGUAAACUUCUUUUAUUAAGGACGAAAAAUGACGGUACUUAAUGAAUAAGCUCCGGCUAACUACGUG
rnacentral:rRNA from 1 species